GCAGAGUAGGAGCACAUGUGUGAAAUAGUGCCGGAAAAACGGGGAGUUGUUUUCCGGACGAAAGAGCCAGGGACGUGUCCCGGGCCCGCAGUGUGUGCUCCGCAUCCCGCUGC
rnacentral:ncRNA from 1 species